rnacentral:rRNA from 1 species
AAACGGUGGCUAAUACCGCAUAACGUCGCAAGACCAAAGAGGGGGACCUUCGGGCCUCUUGCCAUCAGAUGUGCCCAGAUGGGAUUAGCUUGUUGGUGAGGUAACGGCUCACCAAGGCGACGAUCCCUAGCUGGUCUGAGAGGAUGACCAGCCACACUGGAACUGAGACACGGUCCAGACUCCUACGGGAGGCAGCAGUGGGGAAUAUUGCACAAUGGGCGCAAGCCUGAUGCAGCCAUGCCGCGUGUAUGAAGAAGGCCUUAGGGUUGUAAAGUACUUUCAGCGGGGAGGAAGGUGUUGCGGUUAAUAACCGCAGCAAUUGACGUUACCCGCAGAAGAAGCACCGGCUAACUCCGUGCCAGCAGCCGCGGUAAUACGGAGGGUGCAAGCGUUAAUCGGAAUUACUGGGCGUAAAGCGCACGCAGGCGGUCUGUCAAGUCGGAUGUGAAAUCCCCGGGCUCAACCUGGGAACUGCAUUCGAAACUGGCAGGCUUGAGUCUUGUAGAGGGGGGUAGAAUUCCAGGUGUAGCGGUGAAAUGCGUAGAGAUCUGGAGGAAUACCGGUGGCGAAGGCGGCCCCCUGGACAAAGACUGACGCUCAGGUGCGAAAGCGUGGGGAGCAAACAGGAUUAGAUACCCUGGUAGUCCACGCCGUAAACGAUGUCUACUUGGAGGUUGUGCCCUUGAGGCGUGGCUUCCGGAGCUAACGCGUUAAGUAGACCGCCUGGGGAGUACGGCCGCAAGGUUAAAACUCAAAUGAAUUGACGGGGGCCCGCACAAGCGGUGGAGCAUGUGGUUUAAUUCGAUGCAACGCGAAGAACCUUACCUGGUCUUGACAUCCACAGAAGAAUCCAGAGAUGGAUUUGUGCCUUCGGGAACUGUGAGACAGGUGCUGCAUGGCUGUCGUCAGCUCGUGUUGUGAAAUGUUGGGUUAAGUCCCGCAACGAGCGCAACCCUUAUCCUUUGUUGCCAGCGGUUAGGCCGGGAACUCAAAGGAGACUGCCAGUGAUAAACUGGAGGAAGGUGGGGAUGACGUCAAGUCAUCAUGGCCCUUACGACCAGGGCUACACACGUGCUACAAUGGCGCAUACAAAGAGAAGCGACCUCGCGAGAGCAAGCGGACCUCAUAAAGUGCGUCGUAGUCCGGAUUGGAGUCUGCAACUCGACUCCAUGAAGUCGGAAUCGCUAGUAAUCGUGGAUCAGAAUGCCACGGUGAAUACGUUCCCGGGCCUUGUACACACCGCCCGUCACACCAUGGGAGUGGGUUGCAAAAGAAGUAGGUAGCUUAACCUUCGGGAGGGCGCUUACCACUUUGUGAUUCAUGACUGGGGUGAAGUCGUAACAAGGUAACCGUAGGGGAACCUGC